rnacentral:misc_RNA from 1 species
CCCUAGAUGAACAAGAGAUUCAAAAAUUCAACCCCAUCCCAUGCACCCACACUUCUUUACUACUUGUCAUAUGCAUAUGAUAGCAUGAGUUCCAAUGUUCCAUUUACCAAGGAUUUUUUUAUAUGCAAGAAACAAAACCAGUUACAUUCAAUUGUCAAGGAUGUAUCACUCAUGAGGAAUUGUCUGCACUCACUGAUCUCUGACCUACAUUAAUUAGUAACCACUGCAUCAACCUGCAAAAGCUCAUAUAACGAUGGCAGUCGUCCACAACACAUAAACACUACCCAACUCAAAUGAAACUCAUCCCAACACAAACUGCGACAGCUAGAUCUUGUAUGAAGCCUUUUCUCCAAUCUUUUCAGGAAAACAUGAAUAAAAUAUUGCCAAAAAAUUUUCAAUGAUGAGUAGUAAUAUAAACAGAUAGCUGCUCCCUAAGACCAUUGCAAGUAUCAAAUUCUUCAAAGCAAGUGUUGCAGUCAAUUCAUAGCAUCAAAUCCAAGCCCACAAUUUCCUUCUCUCAAUGAUGAAUAUAAUAAAUAUUUGUCACCAAAAGGCCAAUGCACAGCGCUUAUAAACCAUGAUCACACCCUAAAUCCCACCAAAAAAUGAAAGAAAGAAAUAGUGCCUUUAAACUAGGCAUACCAGAAAUAUUCAUUCCAGUGUUACUUUUUAGCUGUCAUAUUUCCAGGCGGACAAAUUAAGCAUAAACUAAGCCAACGCCCUUGAUUUCAUGGAAGUCAAUAAUAAAAAAGGAAACAAAUAAAUAGACAAAGAUCAACCUGAAAAGAAAAUGAGAGCGCAAGCAAUUCUAACAACUGGAGAUUAGACUAGCAUUCUCAUUACCGAUAACACCCAGUCAAGAUUCAGAUGUACAAAUAAAUAAUAAAUAAAUAAAAACAAACCUGCUAAAGCAAAAUUGGAAAGACGUUCAUUGUUCUUCAUUGUUUCCUAAUUUAUUCAAACUU